CCUACGGGUGGCAGCAGUGAGGAAUAUUGGUCAAUGGACGCAAGUCUGAACCAGCCAAGUAGCGUGAAGGAUGACUGCCCUAUGGGUUGUAAACUUCUUUUAUAUGGGAAUAAAAUGUUCCACGUGUGGGAUUUUGUAUGUACCAUAUGAAUAAGGAUCGGCUAACUCCGUGCCAGCAGCCGCGGUAAUACGGCGGUUCCGAGCGUUAUCCGGAUUUAUUGGGUUUAAAGGGAGCGUAGGUGGAUUUGUAAGUCAGUUGUGAAAGUUUGCGGCUCAACCGUAAAAUUGCAGUUGAAACUGGCAGUCUUGAGUACAGGAGAGGUAGGCGGAAGUCGUGGUGUAGCGGUGAAAUGCUUAGAUAUCACGAAGAACGCCGAUGGCGAAGGCAGCCCACGGGACUGCAACUGACACUGAGGCUCGAAAGUGUGGGUAUCAAACAGGAUUAGAUACCCGAGUAGUC
rnacentral:rRNA from 1 species